rnacentral:rRNA from 1 species
GACGAACGCUGGUCGGCGUGCUUAACACAUGCAAGUCGAACGGUGGACGAGGAGGCUUGUCUCCUCCGAUCAGUGGCGAACGGGUGAGUAACGCGUGAGUAACCUGCCCCAGACCCUGGGAUAACAGUUGGAAACAGCUGCUAAUACCGGAUACGAGACGGAGAGGCAUCUCUACCGUCUGGAAAGAUUUAUCGGUCUGGGAUGGACUCGCGGCCUAUCAGCUUGUUGGUGAGGUAAAGGCUCACCAAGGCGACGACGGGUAGCCGGCCUGAGAGGGCGACCGGCCACACUGGGACUGAGACACGGCCCAGACUCCUACGGGAGGCAGCAGUGGGGAAUAUUGCACAAUGGGCGAAAGCCUGAUGCAGCGACGCCGCGUGAGGGAUGACGGCCUUCGGGUUGUAAACCUCUUUCAGCAGGGAAGAAGCGAAAGUGACGGUACCUGCAGAAGAAGCACCGGCUAACUACGUG